UCCCAGUGAAGAAGACACCACCUGUCUUACUCCUUGACCUUGCCCCAGAACCUGCAAAGGUUGAACCCACUGGGGCUGGCUGGGAGGCAGGAGGAGAUUCUGUUCCAGAGAGAACUGUCUGAGGGAU
ensembl:snoRNA SNORD22 Small nucleolar RNA SNORD22